AUAAUGACUCUCGGCAACGGAUAUCUCGGCUCUCGCAUCGAUGAAGAACGUAGCGAAAUGCGAUACUUGGUGUGAAUUGCAGAAUCCCGUGAACCAUCGAGUCUUUGAACGCAAGUUGCGCCCCAAGCCUUUAGGCCGAGGGCACGCCUGCCUGGGUGUCACAC
rnacentral:rRNA from 4 species